UACGGAGGGGGCAAGCGUUGUUCGGAUUUACUGGGCGUAAAGGGUGCGUAGGCGGCCUGUUAAGUCAGGGGUGAAAGACGGUAGCUCAACUAUCGCAGUGCCCUUGAUACUGAUGAGCUUGAAUGAACUAGAGGUAGGCGGAAUGUGACAAGUAGCGGUGAAAUGCAUAGAUAUGUCACAGAACACCGAUUGCGAAGGCAGCUUACUAUGGUUUUAUUGACGCUGAGGCACGAAAGCGUGGGGAUCAAACAGG
rnacentral:rRNA from 1 species